GCAGAGAGCCAGAGGGAGGCAGAGAGACAGAGGGAGGCAGAGAGACAGAGAGAAGCAGAGAGAGCCACAGAAGCAAUGGAGCACCAGAGAAAACUGCAGGAGAUCCACAGACUCAAACAACUGCUGGAUCUACUGAUGGUGGACCUACAACUGGCCCACUCAAAGAAAGAGAGAGAAGAUAAGAGGCAACGAAAAGAGAGGAGAUGAAAGAAGGGAGAUCCUUGAGAAGAGGGGUGAGUUAGAGGACACUGAAGAGGAGGAGGAGAAGGACGAUAACAAGGAGGACAUUCUCCCACCUGAUAAAAGUAUCAGAAGGAGAGCUGUGGGCUGGGUAAACAAGAAGUGGGAGAAGAGGAACCUCAGAAAGAUAGAGAGAACGUAUCAGAGAGAGGCUGAGGAGGGCUAUAAGAUCGUCCACAUAGGUAAGACCUGUUUUCCCUCUACUUAUGACAUCAUCCUCUUUAGUCUCCUCUACAAACAUACGUUCCACACCAGUCAUCAUGUUGCAUCAUUGUUUCAAUAUAAAACUAUUGUCCAAAAUGGUCAAGCUGAUCUGGUAUCAACUUAAAUGUAAUGUACACAGGGAAUCUAGAAUGGAAAACUCAACUGGAUCUCAAUGAUCUAAAGUAGUGCAUCAUAGCCUUUUGAGGCCCUAAGAAACAUUUUGUUCAGGUUUUUGACUACAUUUCCUCCCAAUCUACACUUUGCAAUGGGGCGUAGAGAACAUAUUGCAUUUUUCAAGCAAGUUUGCUGCAAUUCUACACAUUUUCCCAUGGGGCUGAAAGAAAUUUUUGACUUAUGGCAUGUUAAGAUAAAAUCUGAAUGAAAUUGACUAACAAAAUUAAUGGGGGCUCACUGUAGUUCAAGGCCCCUGGGUAAUUUGACCAAAAAAGGUUUUUGGGGGGAUCAGGGGGCCCCUAGUUGCCAUGGGGCCCUAAGCAAUCGCAUAUGCCUAGGGCCAGCCCUGGCACUUUACCAGAGAACCAGCUGGAGGUGCCAGAGAACCAUCAGCGGGGGCCAAACAGCCAGCAGCUAGAAGCUCCAGAAGAGGCUGAAACAUCAGAGCCAAUCUCCAACACAAAGACAAAGAAAAAGCCAAGCAUCUGGAAGAAAAUUAGGAUGGGUCAACAAGUGAUGAGCCAGAUCAACCAAUCAACGUCACUGCAGCUGUUCUACCCACCACCCCCACUGCUCUUCCUCCACCACCAACCUCAUCCUCUUCUCCUGUUCAACUCAUUUGAAAGGACUGUACACUAGAAAGGACUGUACAUACAGUUGAUGUCGGAAGUUUACAUACACUUAGGUUGGAGUCAUUAAAACUCAUUUUUCAACCACUCCACAAAUGUCUUGUUAACA